rnacentral:rRNA from 1 species
AGAGUUUGAUCCUGGCUCAGAUUGAACGCUGGCGGAAUGCUUUACACAUGCAAGUCGAACGGCAGCACGGGAGCUUGCUCCUGGUGGCGAGUGGCGAACGGGUGAGUAAUGCGUCGGAACGUACCGAGUAAUGGGGGAUAACGCAGCGAAAGCUGUGCUAAUACCGCAUACGCCCUGAGGGGGAAAGUGGGGGAUCGCAAGACCUCACGUUAUUCGAGCGGCCGACGUCUGAUUAGCUAGUUGGUGGGGUAAUGGCCUACCAAGGCGACGAUCAGUAGCGGGUCUGAGAGGAUGAUCCGCCACACUGGGACUGAGACACGGCCCAGACUCCUACGGGAGGCAGCAGUGGGGAAUUUUGGACAAUGGGGGCAACCCUGAUCCAGCCAUUCCGCGUGAGUGAAGAAGGCCUUCGGGUUGUAAAGCUCUUUCAGCUGGAACGAAACGGUACAGGUUAAUACCCUGUGCUAAUGACGGUACCGGCAGAAGAAGCACCGGCUAACUACGUGCCAGCAGCCGCGGUAAUACGUAGGGUGCGAGCGUUAAUCGGAAUUACUGGGCGUAAAGCGUGCGCAGGCGGAUUGUUAAGCAAGAUGUGAAAUCCCCGGGCUUAACCUGGGAAUGGCAUUUUGAACUGGCAGUCUAGAGUGCGUCAGAGGGGGGUGGAAUUCCACGUGUAGCAGUGAAAUGCGUAGAGAUGUGGAGGAACACCAAUGGCGAAGGCAGCCCCCUGGGAUGACACUGACGCUCAUGUACGAAAGCGUGGGUAGCAAACAGGAUUAGAUACCCUGGUAGUCCACGCCCUAAACGAUGUCAACUGGUUGUUGGGGGAGUGAAAUCCCUUAGUAACGAAGCUAACGCGUGAAGUUGACCGCCUGGGGAGUACGGUCGCAAGAUUAAAACUCAAA